GAUGAACGCUGGCGGCGUGCCUAAUACAUGCAAGUCGAGCGAACAGACGAGGAGCUUGCUCCUCUGACGUUAGCGGCGGACGGGUGAGUAACACGUGGAUAACCUACCUAUAAGACUGGGAUAACUUCGGGAAACCGGAGCUAAUACCGGAUAAUAUAUUGAACCGCAUGGUUCAAUAGUGAAAGACGGUUUUGCUGUCACUUAUAGAUGGAUCCGCGCCGCAUUAGCUAGGUGGUAAGGUAACGGCUUACCAAGGCAACGAUGCGUAGCCGACCUGAGAGGGUGGUCGGCCACACUGAACUGAGACACGGUCCAGACUCCUACGGGACGCAGCAGUGGGGAAUCUUCCGCAGUGGGCGAAAGCCUGACGGAGCAACGCCGCGUGAGUGAUGAAGGUCUUCGGAUCGUAAAACUCUGGUAUUAGGGAAGAACAAAUGUGUAAGUAACUAUGCACGUCUUGACGGUACCUAAUCAGAAAGCCACGGCUAACUACGU
rnacentral:rRNA from 1 species